UACGUAGGUGGCGAGCGUUAUCCGGAAUUAUUGGGCGUAAAGCGCGCGCAGGCGGUCUCUUAAGUCUGAUGUGAAAUCUCGCGGCUCAACCGCGAGCGGCCAUUGGAAACUGGGAGACUUGAGUGCAGAAGAGAAGAGCGGAAUUCCACGUGUAGCGGUGAAAUGCGUAGAGAUGUGGAGGAACACCAGUGGCGAAGGCGGCUCUUUGGUCUGCAACUGACGCUGAGGCGCGAAAGCGUGGGGAGCAAACAGG
rnacentral:rRNA from 1 species